GCAGUGGUAGUUCAGUGGUGGGAAUCUUGCCUUCCAUGUGGAGACCCAGGUUCGAUUCCAGGCCAGUGCA
rnacentral:tRNA from 1 species